AUACUCUGCUUUCUCCUGAGAGCAGAUCAAUCUUUUGUUUUUUACUAAGGAUUUCUGUGGAGAGGAACAGUUAGGAGUUGGUAAUCAAAUUUUUUGAAGACUUGCUUAGGCAAGGCU